GACUCUCGGCAAUGGAUAUCUCUGCUCUUACAUCGAUGAAGAACGUAGUGAAAUGCAAUACUUGGUGUGAAUUAUAGAAUCCCAUGAACCAUCGAGUCUUUGAACGUAAGUUAUUCCCUAGGCCAUCGAGCUGAGGGCACGCUUGCCUGGGCGUCA